CCUACGGGCGGCUGCAGUGGGGAAUAUUGGACAAUGGGGGGAACCCUGAUCCAGCCAUGCCGCGUGUGUGAAGAAGGCCCUCGGGUUGUAAAGCACUUUCAGUGAGGAAGAACGCCUGGUGGUUAAUACCCAUCAGGAAAGACAUCACUCACAGAAGAAGCGCCGGCUAACUCCGUGCCAGCAGCCGCGGUAAUACGGAGGGUGCGAGCGUUAAUCGGAAUUACUGGGCGUAAAGCGCGCGUAGGUGGCUUGAUAAGCCGGUUGUGAAAGCCCCGGGCUCAACCUGGGAACGGCAUCCGGAACUGUCAAGCUAGAGUGCAGGAGAGGAAGGUAGAAUUCCCGGUGUAGCGGUGAAAUGCGUAGAGAUCGGGAGGAAUACCAGUGGCGAAGGCGGCCUUCUGGACUGACACUGACACUGAGGUGCGAAAGCGUGGGUAGCAAACAGGAUUAGAUACCCGAGUAGUC
rnacentral:rRNA from 1 species